UACGUAGGGGGCAAGCGUUGUCCGGAAUUAUUGGGCGUAAAGCGCGUGUAGGCGGUCCGGUAAGUCCGCUGUGAAAGUCGAGGGCUCAACCCUUGAAUGCCGGUGGAUACUGCAGGGCUAGAGUCCGGAAGAGGCGAGUGGAAUUCCUGGUGUAGCGGUGAAAUGCGCAGAUAUCAGGAGGAGCACCGAUGGCGAAGGCAGCUCGCUGGGACGGUACUGACGCUGAGACGCGAAAGCGUGGGGAGCAAACAGG
rnacentral:rRNA from 1 species